GAUGAACGCUGGCGGUGUGCCUAAUACAUGCAAGUCGAGCGAACAGACGAGGAGCUUGCUCCUCUGACGUUAGCGGCGGACGGGUGAGUAACUCGUGGAUAACCUACCUAUAAGACUGGGAUAACUUCGGGAAACCGGAGCUAAUACCGGAUAAUAUAUUGAACCGCAUGGUUCAAUAGUGAAAGACGGUUUUGCUGUCACUUAUAGAUGGAUCCGCGCCGCAUUAGCUAGUUGGUAAGGUAACGGCUUACCAAGGCGACGAUGCGUAGCCGACCUGAGAGGGUGAUCGGCCACACUGGAACUGAGACACGGUCCAGACUCCUACGGGAGGCAGCAGUAGGGAAUCUUCCGCAAUGGGCGAAAGCCUGACGGAGCAACGCCGCGUGAGUGAUGAAGGUCUUCGGAUCGUAAAACUCUGUUAUUAGGGAAGAACAAAUGUGUAAGUAACUAUGCACGUCUUGACGGUACCUAAUCAGAAAGCCACGGCUAACUACGUG
rnacentral:rRNA from 1 species